rnacentral:lncRNA from 1 species
UUUUUUCUGGAUUUUUAUCUCAGCUUGUUAAGCUGUGUAUGUUUGUGGUUCUAUAACACCUAACAAUAUGCUUUGACAUUCUGUGUGACAUUCUGUUUGACUAAUAGACAUUUAUUUUGUCUCAUUGGUCUCUUUGAUCUCUUUUGGCUAAAAAGGGGGAGAAGUAGCUAAAGGAGCUGUAGCUAAUCUAGCUAUGCUAUAAAAAGAUGACAAAUGAUAUUGAAGAUGAUGUAUGUUGAAGAUAAUCUGUUUAAUACAGGUGUUGUUGAAGGAGAUGUUAG